AACGAACGCUGGCGGCAUGCCUAACACUUGCAAGUCGAACGAGACCUUCGGGUCUAGUUGCGCACGGGUGCGUAACGCGUGGGAACCUGCCCUUAGGUUCGGAAUAACUCCCCGUAAGGGGUGCUAAUACCGGAUAACGUCUUCGGACCAAAGAUUGAUCGCCUUUGGAUGGGCCCGCGUUGGUUUAGCUAGUUGGUAGGGUAAAAGCCUACCAAGGCGACGAUCCAUAGCUGGUCUGAGAGGAAGAGCAGCCACACUUGGGCUGAGACACGGCCCAGACUCCUACGCGAGGCAGGAGUGGGGAAUACUGGACAAUGGGCGAAGGCCUGAUGCAGCAAGGCCGGGUAAGUGAUGAAGGCCUUAGGGUAGUAAAGCUCUUUUACCCGGGAUGAUAAUGACAGUACCGGGAGAAUAAGCUCCGGCUAACUCCGUG
rnacentral:rRNA from 1 species